UACGGGGGGGGCAAGCGUUGUUCGGAAUUACUGGGCGUAAAGGGCGCGUAGGCGGUCAGAUAAGUUGGAUGUGAAAACUCUGGGCUUAACCCAGAGCCUGCAUUCAAUACUGACAGGCUAGAGUUCUGGAGGGGAUAGCGGAAUUCCUGGUGUAGCGGUGAAAUGCGUAGAUAUCAGGAGGAACACCGGUGGCGAAGGCGGCUAUCUGGACAGAGUCUGACGCUGAGGCGCGAAAGCUAGGGGAGCAAACAGG
rnacentral:rRNA from 1 species